AACCGUGGCCUUGGGCAAAGAGACACCUCUUUGGUGGUGGUGCUCUUAAAUCAGUCAGGGGUACAGCAGGAUGGUAGUCCUUUGUUCAUCCUAGCUUGAUGCCUGGCUCAGUGGCUAAAGUUGUUUCAUGCCCAGGCACAAUC